rnacentral:rRNA from 1 species
CCUACGGGGGGCAGCAGUGGGGAAUAUUGGACAAUGGGCGAAAGCCUGAUCCAGCCAUGCCGCGUGUGUGAAGAAGGCCUUCGGGUUGUAAAGCACUUUCAGUGGGGAAGAAAGACUUGGGGCGAAUACCCUCGAGGAAGGACAUCACCCACAGAAGAAGCACCGGCUAACUCCGUGCCAGCAGCCGCGGUAAUACGGAGGGUGCGAGCGUUAUCGGAAUUACUGGGCGUAAAGCGCGCGUAGGCGGUCUGAUAAGCCGGUUGUGAAAGCCCCGGGCUCAACCUGGGAACGGCAUCCGGAACUGUCAGGCUAGAGUGCAGGAGAGGAAAGUAGAAUUCCCGGUGUAGCGGUGAAAUGCGUAGAGAUCGGGAGGAAUACCAGUGGCGAAGGCGGUCUUCUGGACUGACACUGACGCUGAGGUGCGAAAGCGUGGGUAGCAAACAGGAUUAGAUACCCCGGUAGUC